rnacentral:tRNA from 1 species
GCUUGCUUAGCUCAAUGGUAGAGCAAUCGGCUGUUAACCGAUCGGUUGUAGGUUCGAGCCCUAUAGCAAGCGCCA